CCUUCCCCUUCUGGCAUUGCAGGUGUGGCUGCUGUGUCACAUGUGCGUCAGUAGGUGGCAGAGGGGAGAGAGGCUCUGUCUACGCUCAGUGUUCUGACUGUGGAACAUUGAAUAAUUGGUAGCCUGACACC